rnacentral:rRNA from 1 species
CGCUGUAGGGGUGAACCUGCGGAGGGAUCAUUA